UACGUAGGGUGCUAGCGUUGUCCGGAAUCAUUGGGCGUAAAGCGCGCGUAGGCGGCCCGGUAAGUCCGCUGUGAAAGUCAAAGGCUCAACCUUUGAAUGUCAGCGGAUACUGCCGGGCUAGAGUCCGGAAGAGGCGAGUGGAACUCCUGGUGUAGCGGUGGAAUGCGCAGAUAUCAGGAAGAACACCAACGGCGAAGGCAGCUCGCUGGGACGGAACUGACGCUAAGGCGCGAAAGCGUGGGGAGCGAACAGG
rnacentral:rRNA from 1 species